rnacentral:rRNA from 1 species
UACGGAGGGGGCGAGCGUUAAUCGGAAUCACUGGGCGUAAAGCGCACGUAGGCGGCCUAUCAAGUCGGAUGUGAAAGCCCUCGGCUCAACCGGGGAACUGCAUUCGAAACUGACAGGCUGGAGUCUCGGAGAGGGUGGCGGAAUUCCCGGUGUAGGAGUGAAAUCCGUAGAUAUCGGGAGGAACACCAGUGGCGAAGGCGGCCACCUGGACGAUGACUGACGCUGAGGUGCGAAAGCGUGGGUAGCAAACAGG